AUUGAACGCUGGCGGCAUGCCUUACACAUGGCAAGUCGAACGGCAGCACGGGAGCAAUCCUGGUGGCGAGUGGCGAACGGGUGAGUAAUAUAUCGGAACGUGCCCAGUCGUGGGGGAUAACGUAGCGAAAGCUACGCUAAUACCGCAUACGAUCUACGGAUGAAAGCGGGGGAUCGCAAGACCUCGCGCGAUUGGAGCGGCCGAUAUCAGAUUAGGUAGUUGGUGAGGUAAAGGCUCACCAAGCCGACGAUCUGUAGCUGGUCUGAGAGGACGACCAGCCACACUGGGACUGAGACACGGCCCAGACUCCUACGGGAGGCAGCAGUGGGAAUUUUGGACAAUGGGCGCAAGCCUGAUCCAGCAAUGCCGCGUGCAGGAUGAAGGCCUUCGGGUUGUAAACUGCUUUGUACGGAACGAAACGGUGAGCUCUAAUACAGUUUGCUAAUGACGGUACCGUAAGAAUAAGCACCGGCUAACUACGUG
rnacentral:rRNA from 1 species